UGUCAAAGAAAGGACGAUCGAUUAGACAGACAACCAGUCAAAUCAACCUGUUUACAGAUCAAAUAGAACAGCUAGCACGCCAUAGGAUUUUAAUAUUUACAUGACCGUUAUCAUGACUGUACAUUAUAACUCUGUUAACCAGGUAUGAGGAAGAUCAUAAACCUGGGCAUAAAGCCAAAAUCGUUAUCCCGUCAAUCGAUGUUCAAGUGGGACACGCACUGGGUAAAUUGGCAUAUGAUGUAAAGAUUUUGCAAGUUUAUUUUACUUUGUCGAGGACUUUAAACAUUGAAGUUUCGAAAUAACAAUUAAGUAAAUAUCUCAGAUGGGUGCAGGAGGCGGUCGUCCAAUAAACCCUCACACCGGCCAGGUGGGCGGAUACAUUUCACCGGGACCAGGGGGCUACUACACCGGUCAUACGCCAUUCCAAAUCGUGCCAGGCACAGUUGACACCGGCAACGUAUCACAGAAAUGUCCGAAUUGUAAAAAUAUUCCGGUCAAUCAUUGUGGCCAUGCUUACCAAUACCACACGCACUACUGCACUGACGAUGGAUUCAACAUUACGAAUAGCACUACGUUUCAAGGCUAUGGUGCCCCGAACAUGACCGUUACCAGAUACCCAAACGGUAUGGUUUGCCAGUCGGCCUUAAAUAUGGGCCAGCAGUCAAUGUACAUGACCGGUUCUUCAAUGUACAUGACCAAUGCCAACCCACAACCGUCGAAUUACAGUCCUGCGCCGACCUUUGCCCCUCCUCCGGCGUAUUCUAAGGAACCUCCUGGGCCGACCUUUGCACCACCUCCGGCACAUUCUAAGAAACCUCCAGUGCCGACCAUUGAACCAAAUCCGUUUAAUACCAACGACCAUCCUCCUCCAUACCAAGGAUCCAUACCACCAUCAGCCACUUACAAAAUGUAAGAUUGUCGAUGAACACAGACGUUGAUGUGACUCGUCAAGUUUUAGCGGUGAAUGUAACGGGGAGUUAUUUGAAUUGGUACAAUCAUAAUUUACUAGUUAACUCGUUUGUAGUGGAAUUUGACUGUAUUUCAAACGACAUGUCAUGAUGCGGUGAAGUUUUUAUAACAUUUGAUUGUGGUAUUUAUUUACAUGUUGUCUGUUUUAAUUUGACUAACGCUAAUAAUACAACUCUAAAGUUAUAGGUUUGAUUCUGUAAAUAAUAGUAAGUCGUGUUAAAACAACAAAUCAUUAAUUAAACCUUAACCAUUAAUUGCUUUAUACAAUGCAGUGCCAUUAUUAUUUCUGGUUAUCGUUAAUACAAGUACUCAUAGUGUUAUCUCCUUCUAUUACUUCAUUGUUCUUUUUCUCUCAUUUUUCCAUUUGUUCAUGUAAUAACAAAAUACAUUGAAAUGCUUUUGUAGAAAUAACAUGUAUAUAGUGUUAAAAUUAUUAACCGGUGAAAUUAUACUUAACUUUUUUCAUUUCAUUAGUAUAAGACCACGUGAUUGUUGCUUCAAUUUUAUAAAUCAUAUCACCGAUAUGAGUGUGUCUCCGUAUAAUUAAAUAUUAUCCUGGAAAUAAAAUUAUUUUUUCAUA